rnacentral:rRNA from 1 species
GUGGGGAAUCUUGCGCAAUGGGCGAAAGCCUGACGCAGCCAUGCCGCGUGAAUGAUGAAGGUCUUAGGAUUGUAAAAUUCUUUCACCGGGGACGAUAAUGACGGUACCCGGAGAAGAAGCCCCGGCUAACUUCGUGCCAGCAGCCGCGGUAAUACGAAGGGGGCUAGCGUUGCUCGGAAUUACUGGGCGUAAAGGGCGCGUAGGCGGACAGUUUAGUCAGAGGUGAAAGCCCAGGGCUCAACCUUGGAAUUGCCUUUGAUACUGGCUGUCUUGAGUACGGGAGAGGUGAGUGGAACUCCGAGUGUAGAGGUGAUAUUCGUAGAUAUUCGGAAGAACACCAGUGGCGAAGGCGACUCACUGGCCCGUUACUGACGCUGAGGCGCGAAAGCGUGGGGAGCAAACAGGAUUAGAUACCCGUGUAGUCC